CACUCCUGCGGGAGGCAGCAGUGGGGAAUUUUGGACAAUGGGCGAAAGCCUGAUCCAGCAAUGCCGCGUGCAGGAUGAAGGCCUUCGGGUUGUAAACUGCUUUUGUACGGAACGAAAAAGCUCCUUCUAAUACAGGGGGCCCAUGACGGUACCGUAAGAAUAAGCACCGGCUAACUACGUGCCAGCAGCCGCGGUAAUACGUAGGGUGCGAGCGUUAAUCGGAAUUACUGGGCGUAAAGCGUGCGCAGGCGGUUAUGUAAGACAGAUGUGAAAUCCCCGGGCUCAACCUGGGAACUGCAUUUGUGACUGCAUGGCUAGAGUACGGUAGAGGGGGAUGGAAUUCCGCGUGUAGCAGUGAAAUGCGUAGAUAUGCGGAGGAACACCGAUGGCGAAGGCAAUCCCCUGGACCUGUACUGACGCUCAUGCACGAAAGCGUGGGGAGCAAACAGGAUUAGAUACCCCUGUAGUCCC
rnacentral:rRNA from 1 species